AUGGCUAUCACCAUAAAAAGAUUAAUCGCAUUUGUUUUCACUUUCAUUUUCAUCAUAUCUUAUGUACAUUGUCAUACAAUAUCGGCUAGUGCCCCAAAUAAUGGUGGAGACGCAUUAGUAGGUCAUGAUCAAAUUCCGAAGAAUUCGUAUUGUGUAAAAUUAAUAGCGUGUCAUUCCUCACAGCAACUAGGUUGCCUUGUGUUUUGUAAUGAAGCCCAGUUUCGUCAUGGCCGGUGUUAUUUUGGAGAAACAUGUUGUUGUUUUGAUGAUGAGAAGAAUGUGUCCAAGGUGCAUUAAUAUAACCAAAAUGUAAUUGUAUCUACCUGAGAAAUAACAUCAACAAUGUUUAUCAUGUGUUUUAAUUUGGAGUAUAUAUAAACUAUCUAGCUUAGUGCUU